UAGCCCAUUUAUCUAUUUUUCACGGUUUUUAGUCCUAUUACUCUAGGGUUUUCUAAUUUUCCUUUCAACCUCCAUCUUCUCUGAUUCUCUCUUUUCUCAUCCUCUCUUUUCUCAUUCUCUCCUCAAAAUCUAAUCCUUCCUGAGUUCUUAAUUCUCUCGGUCUUCUCUGAAUCUCUGCCUUCUCUGAAUCUCUAGUACUGGACGCCUUCUCCGAUCAUCAGGUUGCUGCUGGUCUUAUUGCUGGCUGUUGUUGCUCAACUGCUGCUGCCUUUCUUUUUCUACCCCUUUUAUGUCUGAACUUUUAUUAUAAGUACUUGUUGUUUUGAUAAUGUUUGCAGCAUUGUUGUAUUGAUAUUUUAGGUUGUUGAAUUGGUACUUUUGUAAUCUUUGUAUUUUGCUAGCCUCUUUGGUAAUACAAAGUUCUAUUUACCAAAAACAGAAAACAAAAAAUAUUAAUAUAACUAGCCCUUUGAAUAACAAAAAAGAAAACAAAAUAACAUUA